AACCAGUACCGUGAGGGAAAGGUGAAAAGCACCCCGGAAGGGGAGUGAAAUAGAACCUGAAACCGUGUGCUUACAAGUAGUCAGAGCCCGUUAAUGGGUGAUGGCGUGCCUUUUGUAGAAUGAACCGGCGAGUUACGAUUUGAUGCAAGGUUAAGCAGUAAAUGUGGAGCCGUAGCGAAAGCGAGUCUGAAUAGGGCGUUUAGUAUUUGGUCGUAGACCCGAAACCAGGUGAUCUACCCUUGGUCAGGUUGAAGUUCAGGUAACACUGAAUGGAGGACCGAACCGACUUACGUUGAAAAGUGAGCGGAUGAACUGAGGGUAGCGGAGAAAUUCCAAUCGAACCUGGAGAUAGCUGGUUCUCUCCGAAAUAGCUUUAGGGCUAGCCUCAAGUGAUGAUUAUUGGAGGUAGAGCACUGUUUGGACGAGGGGCCCCUCUCGGGUUACCGAAUUCAGACAAACUCCGAAUGCCAAUUAAUUUAACUUGGGAGUCAGAACAUGGGUGAUAAGGUCCGUGUUCGAAAGGGAAACAGCCCAGACCACCAGCUAAGGUCCCAAAAUAUAUGUUAAGUGGAAAAGGAUGUGGCGUUGCCCAGACAACUAGGAUGUUGGCUUAGAAGCAGCCAUCAUUUAAAGAGUGCGUAAUAGCUCACUAGUCGAGUGACACUGCGCCGAAAAUGUACCGGGGCUAAACAUAUUACCGAAGCUGUGGAUUGUCCUUUGGACAAUGGUAGGAGAGCGUUCUAAGG
rnacentral:rRNA from 1 species